UUAAUUACAUUAGUUUAGGGAUUAUUGGUUAUUAAUUUAUAAUUAAUUAUAUUAUUAUAUAAUUUAGUUGAAUUAUUGAUAAUUUUUAAUUUAAUUAAUAUAUUGUUAAAAAUGAAAAGAAAAAAAAAACAUGACUUCAUAUUUUUGUUUCAUGGGUCAGUGAUAUAAAUAAAAAAAUAGCCAAAUUUUGAGCUUUUGAACACCUUUAAUCGCAUAAAUGAAAAGAUAGUUAAUUUGGGUGGGUCUCAUGCCUUAAACUUUUUUUGAACCUAUUUUUUCUAUUGCCAAACGAUAGAAAUUAGAACUUUCUUCUAUUACUC
rnacentral:lncRNA from 1 species